rnacentral:rRNA from 1 species
AGCAGCCGCGGUAAUUCCAGCUCCAAUAGCGUAUAUUAAAGUUGUUGCAGUUAAAAAGCUCGUAGUUGAAUUUCGAGAUCAGUACGCUGGUCGUGCCUUCGGUAUGCACUGGUGUCACUGGUUUCUCCCUUCUGAAGAACCGUCAUGCCAUUCAGUUGGUGUGGCGGGGAAUCAGGACUGUUACUUUGAAAAAUUAGAGUGUUUAAAGCAGGCUCGCGCUUGAAUACAUUAGCAUGGAAUAAUGAAAUAGGACGUUUGACCCUAUUUUGUUGGUUUCUAGGAUCGACGUAAUGAUUAAUAGGGAUAGUUGGGGGCAUUAGUAUUCAAUUGUCAGAGGUGAAAUUCUUGGAUUUAUUGAAGACUAACUACUGCGAAAGCAUUUGCCAAGGAUGUUUUCAUUAAUCAAGAACGAAAGUUAGGGGAUCGAAGACGAUCAGAUACCGUCGUAGUCUUAACCAUAAACUAUGCCGACUAGGGAUCGGAUGAUG